rfam:Clostridium tetanomorphum DSM 665 contig89, whole genome shotgun sequence.
UAAUAAUCCCAGGGGGGCUGGUGUUGCCAGCUGAGAGUAAGAACGAAAUUCUUAGACCCUAUAACCUGAUCUGGUUAAUACCAGCGUAGGAAGAGGCUUUAUAUAUUUUU